UAAAUGUAUGACUGUAAGUCACUUUGGAUAAAAGCGUCUGCUGUAUGGCAUAUA
rfam:Salmo salar isolate Sally breed double haploid chromosome ssa21, whole genome shotgun sequence.